rnacentral:piRNA from 1 species
CACUCUCACAUGGCCUACAAUGUUGCCUAA